UACCAGCACCCCGAGUGGUCGGGACGUUUAUUGGGCCUAAAGCAUCCGUAGCCGGUUCUACGAGUAUUCCGUUAAAUCCAACUGCUUAACAGGUGGGCUGCGGAAGAUACUAUAGAGCUAGGAGGCGGGAGAGGCAAGCGGUACUCGAUGGGUAGGGGUAAAAUCCGUUGAUCCAUUGAAGACCACCAGUGGCGAAGGCGGCUUGCCAGAACGCGCUCGACGGUGAGGGAUGAAAGCUGGGGGAGCAAACCGG
rnacentral:rRNA from 1 species